ensembl:lncRNA
GCACUGCACGAGGAUCCUCUCAGUUUCAGAGGCUGGAGCUACAGAUACACUGGAUUAACUUUCAGAAGCGAGUGGAAAUCAGUUUUCCCGAGUAAACCAUGGAAUCUGACACAACAGGAGGCCAGAGUCACCUCUUAAACUCCAUGCGGUCAUACUUGUGCAACCCAAAGAGAGCACAGCCUAUAAUAGGGCUUGAUUGUGUUAUCGAGUUGUACACAGACACUAAACCUCCAGUGUACAUCUGUGACGGCUGCGUUCUCAAAAUCAACAAGACGGACAUCAAAACUCACAUCAUGGGCAGCCUUCACAGAUACAACUAUAUUAGAUUGCAUCAUGUUUGUGGUUUGAGGGCUGAGGCAGAUCUGACAUCUCUGGCCUGGCACCUGAUGGAGUUGGCAAAAUAUGUAGAAAAGAAGGAGGGACCAGGAAAUGUACAGGUGCUGAAACUGGAUGAAGACCUUUACAUGGAGCUGAUAUCACAGCCUGUUCCGGAUGUUCUUGCUCAGGUAAAAGAGAUAAAGAAACAAGCACUCAUCAAUAAAUUCCAAUCAACUGUUUACAACAAAGUCAGAAAAAAUGAUAAUUACAGUGCACCAAGUUCAGCUGCAGAACGGUCCAGUCCUGAAAGAAGCAUAAUCCAGUCUAGAAGUCCGCCACCAUCCCAGAUCUUCCACCCAGAUCCGUCUGAAUACCCAGCUCCCACCAGAACUCCGAACCCAACCAAAGCAUUCAGCUCAGAAGCGACACUUCAAAUAGGGAGCCCUGGCAGUUCUCCAGAGCUCAGUGAUGUCAUGCAUAAAGAUGAAGUAAUAGAUGAGAGCAGAGACAUUGAUGCAUGUAGUGAAACUGAAUCACAUAUGUCUAACACAGUUCAAACUGCCAAACGCAAGCGUGUAGCCCAGUGUCAGAACAGUUCUCUAACCGUGACCAUUACCCAGCAAACAAACCAAGAAAACAUCAGCUCUGAGGAGAUUAGUCAGGAGGUGAAUAAUAUUUUGAAGCUGAUACGAUCUCAAGGAGUAACAGAAACAGAUCAGUACCAACAUGAAGAUGAUCCCAGCAUUACUAAAGCAUUCAGCAACUCAGACUGGGUGCUGAACAGUAGCAAUGGUGCUGAGCAGGAGGAAGAGCAACCAGUGAGGUCUUUCUCACCUGAAGACACUUAUUUCAGGUUUGAGAGCACUGGCCCUGAAUACCCAAUAAUGUCAAGUGAGUGUGAACAAGCCCAGGAUCACUCACAAACAUGGGAUGUCCAGCCACCAAACUUUUCUGACGAGUCUCCAGAAAGUUACACUGGGACACAGCCUCUGAUUGGUCUACAGACCGUCAUCAAGUGCCAAAGUGUAGAUGGAGAUCCACCCCCCUGUUGUUACCUGUGCCAGCCAUGUUCUCUGAAGGUCUUAAGUAGUGACAUCAUCCAGCACCUGAUCAACCCUCAGCACUAUUUUAACUACAUUAAAGUUUACCAUGCCCCCCUCUUGGUGGGUAUUACUGGAGAACAAAGCCUACAGAUUAUUGCCAUCCAGCUGGAGAAAUAUGGAGGCAGAGGACAAAUGAAGGUGACGAGGUUGUCAGCGUGUCUCUUUAGUGAGGUACUGGAGAGAGAUUACCACUGGUGUAUGAAGAUGUUAAAUUGUGGGUCUACUAAGGUGAACAGGCAGGGUACUUUAAUGGAAAGUCCAUCAGGUCACAGUACCACAAAAAAACUGCCAGAUGAGUCUGCACAAAUCUCCCUAACCCACGGUGGCGAUGGACCUGUGCAUGAGCCCAGCAGAAAGCUUCUUGUCCAUCAGCAUAAAUCAAAGAAGAACAAAGCUAGACGUAAGAAUGUUGGGCAUAUGAAUCCAGUGUUUAAGGUAAGCUUGUCGCUGAAGGAAGGACCUGUUGUGGUGGACAGAACGUCCCUCAUAACUGCAACAACAGUGGCUCCUGAAAUUGAACAUCAGGACCUUGAGGAUGUGUAUCUUGAGAAUGUUUCAGAUUCUGUGGCGGAGUACAUGACCUCAGAAAACCACAUACUCCCUGAAGAAUACGAAAACACAGAACAGAACCAUGAAACAUUUUCCAACACCGAAUCAUCCAACAAUAAACACCCUUAUCCAGAACAACCAGACCCACAAACACUGACAGUGGCAGAAAUGGGUUCACACUCAUACAGAUAUAUGAACCAGAGUCAGUUUCUGCAGCCGGUACAGUACACAGAACCAUUUGUUUCAGGCAAUAUGAACAACCAUCCAGGGCCUGAGACUUAUUUUGGACCUGUGUACAAUAAUACGUUUGUGAAAGACGCUGCAUGGCCUACCACUUCUGAUGGAUGUCCAGCAACACACAGUGUCAGUGACUGGGUCAGAGAGAGACAACCACAACCAUACCAAGACAAUGCGUGUAACUGGCCGAUGGAAAGAGGGCCGUUCAUACCAUCAUAUGCCAGUAACUGGCACAGGGAUGAUCCCAUGUUUGUUCAGUCAGAAAGGACACAAGCAAUGUAUGCCAAUCAAGUCCCUCAUCAGAUGCUUGGAGAAAGGACUGGUGAGAUGGUUCAUUUCCCCAUGCAUACCUACCCUGCAGAGGUUGGGGCUUAUGGCCCUUAUUACCCCAGAAUGUGAAUGAAGGCUGGAGAGGUCAAAUUUAACUAGCUAUUCAAAUCAGUAUCACUGAAGUCUGUUUUGAAUAAUCUUGGGACUUCCUUAAAAACUGCAAACUAAUACUUAAACAGUAAUCUUCUAAAUUGUGUAUUCUCUGUGAUUAGCUGUACCUAGACGCAGAUAUAAGUAGACCCAUGUGAGUCUAAUCUAUGCACACAAAGGCAAUCUGUAUUUGAUAUUUGUUAGAUAUACGAUAAAUGGGAUAUCAGCAUGCAGAUUGUUGCAUUGUGUUGGGGAAAUUGUAUGUCAAACACACUGACCAGCCAAACAUUGUCACCACCUGCAUAAUAUUAAGUAGGACCUUAAAUGGGUAUUUGGACGAUAUAUUGCAACAAAUGAUGAAAAUUGUUUUUCUCCCAAAUUUGAAAGGCCAAGUACCCCAUAACUAGCAUUGCUCUGAACAUAAGGAGUGUGAAAGCUAGCACAUGCCUCUUCCAGUACAUGUAAAGCAAUCCACUGCCUCUUUUGGGACGGUCUCUAGUGUAGCAUUACUGGGUAGUGCUACAACCUAGUGCCGGUUCCUCAGAUAACAGAUGUGUGUGCCGUAAAUAUAUCCCAUACCUUGACAGAUGCAAUUGUAGAUAAAGGUAAUGUUUUUCACUUCAUUUGAGUGGUGCUAAGGUUAUGGCUGAUUGGUGUGUUGCUUUAUUGUAAACUUUAUUGUAAAACUAGGCUGUGUUUGAAGGGUAAGAAAUGCUGCCUAUUCAGUCAGUAUUCUGCAGCAAAAAAGGCACCUAAACAUAUCUAAAUUGAUGUUUAGUAAUCUAGUCUUUUUUUAGUUAAGUGAAAUUGCUAAUAGUUAACGACAACCCACCUCUAUGGUCAACACCUUGUCUACAUCAUGAUUAGACCUUAAACCUUAAUCACUACACUGCCUACUGAGUGAGGCAGAGUGGGCAGUGGGCAGCAAAGCCUCAUGGCAACAUUUCUUGUGUUUCAGACACAGCCCUAAUUAAACAGAAUAAGCCUUAUAUUAAUUAUGUUGAGUGCAACAGGUGAUGAAUGAGUGGCUAUAAGCUACGCACUCUGAAUCACAUGCAUUAUACAAACACUCAGCUGAAGAUAAUGAUGAAUCUGUUAAUCACUAUAUGUUUCUGCUCCCUUGUGAUGUCAGAAUCCUCUUUUCUCAUUUUAUUAAACUCAUUUUAUUUUGAAAUAGUAUUGUUGCGACAGUAUUUUUGAAGCCAUAUAAUCACUGUUUUUUUCUGUAUUUUUCUGUUUUCUGUAUUUUUCUUGUAACAUUAUUUAAAUGUGCCAGUGGCUGGUUACACUGUGAUGAAUGGACCAAUGCUGCUAAUUAUUUUUUUUAUUGAUAUUGUUACUUUCCGAAUUUAAGAAGGUUUUUUUUACUGCUCUUGUAAGAUAUUAUUUUGAAGAUACAAAGUUUUUUCUGUGACUGUAAAGAAAACAUUCAGGGAUUUUCUACUCCGAUCCAGUCAUGAUUGUAUAAUUGUUUUUGACAGGAUAUGGUUUUAGAGUACUUGUUUUUGUUGUUUGUUCCGAUUCUGUAUAGAGGGACCACUGUUUAUUAUAUAUAAAGAAGAUUAAUGUGAUAAAGUGACAAUAUUGUACACUUUCAGCUGGGAGUUUUGUUCCUCAUCCAGUAAAUUGCAGAAUGUAUUUGUUCUGUUACAAAUGUGAUGUUUAGGCUGCUAAGAUUCAUCUUGUUCAUGUACUUGUCUUAGUAGGGUGAUGUUUUUUUUUCCUGUGAAGAUUUAUAAUCAGAAAGUUCCAGUUCCAGGUACAGCUCUGUGAUUGUAUGUAAGCACAACUCAUUUGCUUGACCAUAUUACUAGUACCAACUACCAGCAUACACUGUCUGAUUUAGUAUUUGUAAAUCUGAUUUAAUCAAGCAGAAAGCAGUGUAACAAAGACAAUUGUGCCUUUAAUAAACAUUUAGUUUAUAUAAAACCA